UACCAGCUCUCCGAGUGGUAGGGAUGAUUAUUGGGCUUAAAGCGUCCGUAGCCGGCUUAGCAAGUCUCCUGUCAAAUUCAGCGACCUAAUCGUUGAGCCGCGGGAGACACUACUAGGCUAGGAGGCGGGAGAGGCCGACGGUAUUCUCGGGGUAGGGGUGAAAUCCUAUAAUCCCGGGAGGACCACCAGUGGCGAAGGCUGUCGGCUAGAACGCGCUCGACGGUGAGGGACGAAAGCUGGGGGAGCGAACCGGAUUAGAUACCCGGGUAGUCCCAGCUGUAAACGAUGCGGGCUAGGUGUUGGGGUGGCUACGAGCCACUUCAGUGCCGCAGGGAAGCCAUUAAGCCCGCCGCCUGGGGAGUACGGCCGCAAGGCUGAAACUUAAAGGAAUUGGCGGGGGAGCACCACAGGCGUGAGCUUGCGGUUC
rnacentral:rRNA from 1 species